UACGUAGGGCGCAAGCGUUAUCCGGAAUUAUUGGGCGUAAAGAGCUCGUAGGCGGUUUGUCGCGUCUGCCGUGAAAGUCCGGGGCUCAACUCCGGAUCUGCGGUGGGUACGGGCAGACUAGAGUGCGGUAGGGGAGACUGGAAUUCCUGGUGUAGCGGUGAAAUGCGCAGAUAUCAGGAGGAACACCGGUGGCGAAGGCGGGUCUCUGGAAAGUUCCUGACACUGAGGCACGAAGGCCAGGGGAGCAAACGGG
rnacentral:rRNA from 1 species